CGCCCGGUGUGUCCCACGGUUCGGCCGCAGUUGGGACGCGGCCGGACCCCCCACGCCCCCCCUCCCACGGACCGCGACCCCACGCGCGACCGCCCCCCGCCCCCCCCCCAGGGCCCCCAACACACAGCGAUCUCACCCCCCUCCCCCAAAACCCACAGACUCGCGACUCCCCCCCCUCACCCCAUUUAGUCCACCCUCACGGAACACGCGACCCCACCCGCUCACCCCACUGCGACACCCCACAGACACGCGACCUCCACGCCCCCCGCCCACCGCCAAAGACCCCCACCCCCAAUGGCGUAGCUACGAGUUGGGGCGGCUGCCCCCCGAGCCCGAGGAGCAGGAUUUUCAAUCUCAGGCCUAUGAGGACGUCAGGGAAGCGAUACAAAGGUGGCGGGGGGGGGCGGGGCCACGCGUGGUCUCGCGUGGGGUCUGCGUGGGGGGGGGUGGAGCAGCGGGGGGGGGGCUGUGUUUGAACUUUGAUUACUGCCGUUUAUGGGGCGCUGUGGGCUCGAGGAGUCCAUUAGGGUCGUCCUUGGGGUAAGGGGCGGGGGGGCGAGGGGUUGAGUGGCUUACCACGCGUGGUCUCGCGUGGGGUCUGCGUGGGGGGAGGAGCAGCGGGGGGGGCUGUGUUGACUUUGAUACUUCCCUUUAUGGGGCGCUGUGGGGCUCGAGGAGUCCAUAGGGUCCUUCCGGGGGUGGGCGGGGGGCUGUGGUAUACCCACUCGUGUCUCGCGUGGGGUCUGCGUGGGGGGGAGGGGCAGCACAGGUGGGGGCUGUGUUUGCCUUUGGGUCCCCCAUUGAAGUGGUGCUGUGGGUUUAAGGGGUCACGUGGAGGGGGGGUUUGGGACCCCCUUGUUGAGUACAGCAGGGGUCAUUGUGGGACACUCCCACGCGUGGUUUUGCGUGGGUAUGGUUGGGGGGGUGUACGGGGGCAGAGUGGGGGCUGUUGUUGGCUUUGAGACCCCCCCAGUGUGGGGGCGCAUGUGGGGGUUGGAGCGGUCCCGUUUCUGUAUGCGGGGGGGGGUAGUGGGGGGGGGGGGUAAU
rnacentral:lncRNA from 1 species